UGAAGUCUGCCACAACCCCAUGUGUGAGCCUGUUUGCCUUUUCUCCAAAAUCCAAGACAAAAGAAGUCCCUCUGGGUAGAUGAGAGACAUUUACUGGAGUUUCCUUUCUCAGCGCCAAGUAAAAACCUGGAUAUGGAGACUGAUAGAAUGUCCGCUGAACGACAACAACAACAAAAAAAUCAAUGAAGUUGGUCCCCUUCCAAGAAGAAUGGGUCUAAAGGAAUUCACACGACAUGAAAGAAGUGGAUGCCUCCCCAAGUGCAAAAAAAAAUCUCACCAGAUCAAUGAUAAUCCUGAGAGAGAGGGAUGAAUGAGGAUUCUCUAUGAUGCUGCAUGUAAGAAUUUAGUGUCCAGUUUUCACCUCUGUUUUGAAGGAUGUCAAGUUACACCUGAGGUCCUUGAAUAAAUAUGACAGAAAUUCACCUCUGCACAAAAAGACCAAUUGCCUUCAGUCUACUUGAGGACUUGAAGAGACUCAGGGUUUCGGUCAUCCCUUGAGAACGGGAACAAUGCCCCUCAGACCUGUGGAGGAAACUCGAUCAACCAACUCAGGUGUGCAACGAAGCGUUUGAAGAGCCAUUGAAGGUGCUGUUUACUCUCAGUGGGAUUUUUUUUUUCUUCUUUGGAUGAAGGUAGAUAACAUGAUGCCUUUUCCUAGAAUCUAUAUCUGGGAGAUUUUUGUUUUUCUGCUUGGGGCUUUUACGGGUUCUGUAUUCAAAGACCAACACAAAACCCCUAUUUACUUUCUGUCUUCUAAGAUCCUGUCAGCUCUGUGUUGAGCACUUCCUAGAAAAUCUUCCCCUCCCCCAUCCCAGCAAGACUCUUCAGUUUGGCUGCAGGAGGAUGUUUAUCUGACACUUACCAUCAAGGUUCCAACCUUGUCAACGUUUUACCAGCCCUGAGCACACAAAGCCACACUCCCCUAAAAGGGCACUGAGCUCUCCCAGAUGUGUUUCGAUGAUAUUUCCCCCCCCUAACUUUUGCAUUUGGAAAAUUGCAGAGAACCAGAUCUCAUGCCCCACUUGAGACAAUUUUGUCAGCUGUGAUUUUCCUAGGUCAAGUAUUUGUAUUCAAAGGCGAGAGCAAGAAGAAAUUUUAGCCCAAACAUUAAAGAGAAGAAAAAAAUGAAUAAAUUUAGAAUUACUGCGAAGUUUUAGCUUUUCCAAGAGAACGCAAGGAUAGAAAUGUAAUCAGAUUCUCAGAUUAUAAUCUUCUAAUUAUAUCCACUCCUUCCCCCCUCUUUCACACACAUCCAGAAUCACUACUUCUUUGACAACGUUGAACAACUGAGUAUGUCUAACAUAUACUUGCAAUGAGUGACUUAAAAUGGAAGCCAGAGGGGGGAAAUAUUCUCAAAAUCUCACUCAAAGCAAAACUAGAAACCAAGAUGUAUAAAAGAACUAGAGAGUGAAAUAAAUCUCCAGAAGAUGUAAAAGAGAGGGAGAGCCAUAUAGUUUUAAAACUCUUCCAGAUCUACAACCCAAUGUGUUUAGCUGGCUAGUUACUCUGAAGUUAGAUCUGCAAAGAAAGAACUAACAGGACAGACGGUAGGAUCAGACAGCACAGGCAGUGUUUUUGUGCCAAAAGGCCUUGUAGAGAGAGAAUGUUCAUCAUUAUUUGAGGGGCGGGGGGAGGAAAAAAGAGAAACACCCUUCUGGCAUCCACCCACACAGAAAAUUUUUGUAUUUCUUACCAUGGAAAUACUAACCUAGAGGAAAGGAACAGAGCAUUGGGGAGUUCCAUCCUAAAACCCUUCUGAAUGGGAAAUGCCCAAAAGUAUAUCCAGAAAGGGAGAGACUGGCAAAUGGAUUUAUACGGAAUCAGACACUAGAUGUGUCUGCACACUCCCUGGUGUCCCACACCAGGGAGUCAGGCAGAUCACUUUCUCACCCCAUGAGGCACAGCCUUCUUGGCCACCCCCAGUCCACCCCCUCAGCAGAGCCUCUGGUUCACUGAAACACCACAUUGCUGCACCCAUCCCUGCUCAAAACAUGUAAACUCCCUUCAGCACCCUACACAUCCCAGACAUUCUCAGCCCAGUUGCCCUGCUUAAAAAUCUUCUUGGAUCCCCCAGGGACAGGACCCAAGCACUUAAUACCCUUGGAGACCCUCGCUAUUCUGAAGCCAAAGUCCUUCACCCCAGAAUAAAUCUCUAACUUUCUCUUUCUAAAGUCUCAUGAAACAGAAUUUGAUGCAGUAACCUUCAGGGAUUGCUAAUGAACUUUCCUUGUAUGCAAUGUCUCCACAUUUCUUUUUGUUCAAAGAGGAGGAUUCAUGAAAGCAUUUACAUCGGGCUUGGCAUUGAUUCCUCUCCCUUUACAAAUACCAUUAUAUUCACCACAGGCUGAUGACUGAUCACAAGGGUAGAUACGGACAUGAAGUACUCUCAGAGCACCCUGCCAAUUCAGUGAUAUGCUUUCUUCAGGUCCCAGGUGCCCAUAUGCUCCAGGUUCAAGGUAAAGUGGAGAGACUGAGAAAGAAAUCACAAAACACGUACUCCUUCCCCUGUUCAGGAGGGCUCCAGUUCCACUGGGUGCUGGGGACUACACAAUCAUUCAAUCUAAAUGUUCAACAGAUGGAGACGAAUAAUUCUUGCCACGUAGCUCAAAUGAUUUGAAAAGGAGGUUGUUCUUAAAUGAAAGGCACUGACAAAGAAACUUUUUGUUUUUUGUGGAGAGGACCUAGGUGAGAAUGUUUAAAGCCCUGAGUUCCAGGCCCAACUUUGCCUCUAACAAGCUGUCACAGAAUUUUUCUAGAUACAAAGAUCUCAUCUGAAACAUGAAGGGGUAAACUCACAAGCUUCUAACAGAAUUAAAAGUUCAUGACCUCUUUUCUUCAUAUAAAUAUUUAAUUAUCCAAUUUUCCAUAGCCAUUCAAACUGACUCUUCCCUGGUGUCCAGUCUAUUGCAGCCAUGGUUGUGCCCACUGCCCCAACAAGAGGGACAACUACUCUCUGCAAACUGGGCUUUUGCUGUGUUCCCAAACCACAUUCAGCUGUCUCUUUUAUUAAUUACUGGCAUCUCUUCUUCCUUCUGUUAGUACAAAUCAUUCAGAGUUACCUCUCUAGCUGAUGAAGCCCCAAAUCACCUGGCAGCUGUGCAUCCUGGAAGAUUUACCACAUACAUAACGAUAGGACAUUAGAGCAUCGAAGAACCUUCGAAACUAUCAAGAUGAGUGGCCUCCACAGUCUCAAGGGGAUAUACAAGAAGAUCCAUUAGAAUGUGGGAAAACUAGAUCAUCUGUUUUUAUUUAUUUUUUUUAAUUUUAUUUAUUUAUUUUUUAAUUUACAUCCAAAUUAG